UGCCUUGCGCAGUGGCGAUAACGUGACCAACGAGGCUCUGCCGAGGUGCGUUUAUUGCUGAUUUAAAAUUCCUAAAAGAAUUUCAACGUUGAGGUCGAUUUCAAUUUCUGGAAAAAAAAUGC
rnacentral:snRNA from 1 species